rnacentral:rRNA from 1 species
GACGAACGCUGGCGGCGUGCUUAACACAUGCAAGUCGAACGGAAAGGCCCUGCUUUUGUGGGGUGCUCGAGUGGCGAACGGGUGAGUAACACGUGAGUAACCUGCCCUUGACUUUGGGAUAACUUCAGGAAACUGGGGCUAAUACCGGAUAGGAGCUCCUGCUGCAUGGUGGGGGUUGGAAAGUUUCGGCCGUUGGGGAUGGACUCGCGGCUUAUCGGCUUGUUGGUGGGGUAGUGGCUUACCAAGGCUUUGACGGGUAGCCGGCCUGAGAGGGUGACCGGCCACAUUGGGACUGAGAUACGGCCCAGACUCCUACGGGAGGCAGCAGUGGGGAAUAUUGCACAAUGGGCGGAAGCCUGAUGCAGCAACGCCGCGUGCGGGAUGACGGCCUUCGGGUUGUAAACCGCUUUCGCCUGUGACGAAGCGUGAGUGACGGUAAUGGGUAAAGAAGCACCGGCUAACUACGUG